rnacentral:lncRNA from 1 species
AUCGUUUUUUGAACAAGAAGUUCUAAAGUUUAUGCCACAUGAUUUCAGCGUGGAGUUUAACAUGCUGCUGAAAUUAUGGUCCAUUCUAAAUACAUUUAUUAGGGGAAUUAGCAGCUGGAAUUUCCAUGAUGGGUCAUCUUCAAGCUGGAGAUCCUGGGACUAUAGUGGCAUAGCUAAGUCCAAGUUUAACUCUUAGUUCAAGGUUGAAAGCUGAGCAGCCUUGGGGGGACUGCUGGAGUCCAAAGACAAGGAAGCUUGGAAUUCUCAUGUCCAAGGCGGAGACAAUCGUGUACCUGCUUAAAUAAAUGAUUUAAAAUUUAAUGUGUCAAAGUUUGGCUUUUAAUAUGACUGAA